CAACUGCAUAGCUAUAUUUUCACUUGUCAUAUCAGCUGAUUAUACAUAACAUCAGAGUUAAAACUGCUGACCACUAACUAUAUGAUGUCAUUUUGGGAGAACAGGAUUAGAGCUUUCUCCAGUAGUAUCCAGUGAUUGUGCUUCCUAAGCUCCAUAUGAGGACAUUUGGAACCAAACCCCACAGGAAAUGGAAUAAACAGGGAGAUUUGAGAUUUCAACCCUGCUUGACUUCUACUAUGGCAAAAGCUUGCUGCUGCUGCUGCUGCUGCUGGAAUAACAGAAGACCCAGUCCCAUUUAAAUCAGAAAUAACUUCAGUGAAGUGAAUGUAGCCUGAUGUACAACAGAUCUAAUCAAGACCAGAAUUUUU
rnacentral:lncRNA from 1 species